CCCGCUGAACUUAAGCAUAUCAAUAAGCGGAGGAAAAGAAACCAACAGGGAUUGCCCUAGUAACGGCGAGUGAAGCGGCAACAGCUCAAAUUUGAAAUCUGGCCCUCGGGUCCGAGUUGUAAUUUGUAGAGGAUGCUUUUGGCGCGGUGCCUUCCGAGUUCCCUGGAACGGGACGCCUUAGAGGGUGAGAGCCCCGUACGGUUGGACACCAAGCCUCUGUAAAGCUCCUUCGACGAGUCGAGUAGUUUGGGAAUGCUGCUCUAAAUGGGAGGUAAAUUUCUUCUAAAGCUAAAUAUUGGCCAGAGACCGAUAGCGCACAAGUAGAGUGAUCGAAAGAUGAAAAGCACUUUGAAAAGAGGGUUAAAUAGCACGUGAAAUUGUUGAAAGGGAAGCGUUUGCGACCAGACUUUUUCCUAGCGGAUCAUCCGGUGUUAUCACCGGUGCACUUUGCUAGGUCAAGGCCAGCAUCGGUUUCCGUAGGGGGAUAAAAGCUUGGGGAAUGUAGCUCCCUCGGGAGUGUUAUAGCCCCUCGCAUAAUACCCUUAUGGGGACCGAGGACCGCGCUUUUUGCAAGGAUGCUGGCGUAAUGGUUGUCAACGACCCGUCUUGAAACACGG
rnacentral:rRNA from 1 species